rnacentral:rRNA from 1 species
GGAUCAUUACUGAGUUCGACAUCUGUCCAAGUGUCAACUUCCCAUCCUUUGAUUAUACAUUUUGUUGCUUAUGGUGAAGCCUUAUCAAUAUGGUACGGCUUUGCCAGCAGUUUUACAUCUGAAAUUCAGUCAGUUAAUGUUGUUAAAUAAAUGAAAACUUUCAGCAAUGGAUUUCUUGGUAACCGGUUCGAUGAAGAACGGAGCAAAAUCCGAAAAGUAGUGUGAAUUGCAGAUUUCGCGAAUCAUCGAAUUUUCGAACGCACAUUGCGCUCCAUAGUAUUCUGUGGAGCAUGCCUGUUUGAGCGUCAUAUCAAUCUAUCAAGCUACGCUUGUUAUUAGGAACUUGUGAAAAAAAUAAGUUCCUCAAAAUCAUCAUGGAGAGAUUUCAGUAUUUCACUUGGUUGCGAUGGGUCGCUUUCAAAUCCAAUCUGAAAACUGUGAUUGUAACCAUUCAACAUUUUCAAAACGUUUGACCUCAGAUCAGGUAAGAAGACCCGCUGAACUUAAGCAUAUCAAUAAGCGGAGGAAAAGAAACCAACAGGGAUUGCCCUAGUAACGGCGAGUGAAGCGGCAAUAGCUCAGAUUUGAAAUCGAAUACCAAUUCGAGUUGUAAUCUGUAGAUUGUUUCAUGAGCCUAUCCAUCUGUUUAUUUUCCUUGGAACAGGAUAACAUAGAGGGUGAGAGUCCCGUAUGACAGAUGUGAUGCUCUUUACAUGGAACUCUCGACGAGUCGCGUUGUUUGGGAAUGCAGCGCUAAAUUGGUGGUAAAUUUCAUCUAAAGCUAAAUAACACCGGUUGACCGAUAGCGAACAAGUAGUGUAAACGAAAGAUGAAAAGCAUGCCGGAAGGCAAGUUAAAUAGCACAUGAAAUUGCUGAAGGGGAAGGGAAUAAGAGGAGAAUGAUGUGACUGUUCAGCAAAUCUCCUGGUUUGUGUAUUCAGUUUACACUCGUCAACAUCAGUUUGAAUGACUGGAUAAAUGCUUGAGAAUGUAGCUCCUCGGAGUGUUAUAGCUUAAGUUCAUACAGCCAAU